AAAAUAGGAGAACUCAGAGGUUUUUGGCCUGAACAAUUGGAAGAAUUGUGUAGCUAUUAACUGAGAUGGGAAAGCCGGGGGAGGAAGGGAUGGGAGAUAGAUGGAGAACUUGAUGAUAAUAAUAAUUUUGCCCUGCCUCCCUCACAGGCCUAAAUGUGAUGAUUUAUGUGUAAUUUACCCCGCAAAUAUGCUCUGUGGUUACUGGUAUUCAAAGGGCCCUCUCCUUCCUAUGCAGAAGCAGUCUGUUCCCUGGACAUGCUCCUCUCUCUCAGUCCUCAGGUGGUGCCAGUUGGUGGGGGAGAAUGUUCCUGGCAUGUGGACUUGAAUCUGGCAGCAACUGAUGUUGCCAUGCAGAUCCCUUGGUUGCUAUGAGAUGGUAACAUCACUCUGCCCCACCAUUGGCCAGUGCCUCCUCAGCUGCGGUGCCUCCCAGGCUGUGUGGUUCUCACGCGGGCCACUGACACAGAGCUGUUACUAUGGUGAACUUUACAAUUUCCUUUGAUUGGUGGAUUUCAGAAAUAGGCCAUCAGCGGAAUUCAUUAUAUUCAGCUAAGUAAAAAUGAAAAAUAAAUACUAUAGCUUUCCCCUCAUCACUAACAUGAAGGAAACGUGACCCUUCAUGACAUAAUAAAUCGCUGUUCGGUAACUUAGGAUCCUUCAGGGGACUGAAGCGGGAUGAUUCUCCUAUGCCAAAUUUGGGUGGGAAAGAUAUUCCCUGUAGCUUUGAGUCGACUCUUCAGAGUUAAGGGCAGUGGGCCAACCAGAGUUGGAACUUCAGAGUUGGGAGGAGGUGUGGGAUGGGGCAUGCAUUGAAAUGUAAACUCUAUUGUCUCUGAAGUGAUGGGUGAUGCUGGGGGCCUGAGUGUGGAGGGCAGUUUUACAUCUCAGGACAAUGUUUUCUCAGAUGCUCUUCCAGAAAGGAAAGCCAGGAGUACUCCUGGCUGGAGGUGGCAUGCCUGAGGUCAGAGUCAAAGUAGGGUUUGUGCUGUCUGAAUCCUUUCUCCCACUCUCCCCAGCCUGGCUCAGCUUCUCAGCUUCUCAGGUGGAUUGGUGAGUCCUGGCCAAUUAUGCUUCAGCUCAUCUCUACUCUCGGCAAAUAGGAAAAGGGAGUGAAGGACUGAGUUUUAACCCUUCUAAUUUCGUAACCUGACUCUCUAUAAGAAAAAGUAGGAGAAAGACUGAAGAACCCGAGAGAAC
rnacentral:lncRNA from 1 species